CCUACGGGUGGCUGCAGUGGGGAAUAUUGGACAAUGGGGGCAACCCUGAUCCAGCCAUGCCGCGUGUGUGAAGAAGGCCCUCGGGUUGUAAAGCACUUUCAGUGAGGAAGAACGCCUGGUGGUUAAUACCCAUCAGGAAAGACAUCACUCACAGAAGAAGCACCGGCUAACUCCGUGCCAGCAGCCGCGGUAAUACGGAGGGUGCGAGCGUUAAUCGGAAUUACUGGGCGUAAAGCGCGCGUAGGUGGCUUGAUAAGCCGGUUGUGAAAGCCCCGGGCUCAACCUGGGAACGGCAUCCGGAACUGUCAAGCUAGAGUGCAGGCGAGGAAGGUAGAAUUCCCGGUGUAGCGGUGAAAUGCGUAGAGAUCGGGAGGAAUACCAGUGGCGAAGGCGGCCUUCUGGACUGACACUGACACUGAGGUGCGAAAGCGUGGGUAGCAAACAGGAUUAGAUACCCCAGUAGUC
rnacentral:rRNA from 1 species